ACGCUGGCGGCAGGCCUAACACAUGCAAGUCGAGCGGUAGAGAGAAGCUUGCUUCUCUUGAGAGCGGCGGACGGGUGAGUAAUGCCUAGGAAUCUGCCUGGUAGUGGGGGAUAACGUUCGGAAACGGACGCUAAUACCGCAUACGUCCUACGGGAGAAAGCAGGGGACCUUCGGGCCUCGCGCUAUCAGAUGAGCCUAGGUCGGAUUAGCUAGUUGGUGGGGUAAUGGCUCACCAAGGCGACGAUCCGUAACUGGUCUGAGAGGAUGAUCAGUCACACUGGAACUGAGACACGGUCCAGACUCCCACGGGAGGCAGCAGUGGGGAAUAUUGGACAAUGGGCGAAAGCCUGAUCCAGCCAUGCCGCGUGUGUGAAGAAGGUCUUCGGAUUGUAAAGCACUUUAAGUUGGGAGGAAGGGUUGUAGAUUAAUACUCUGCAAUUUUGACGUUACCGACAGAAUAAGCACCGGCUAACUCUGUGCCAGCAGCCGCGGUAAUACAGAGGGUGCAAGCGUUAAUCGGAAUUACUGGGCGUAAAGCGCGCGUAGGUGGUUAGUUAAGUUGGAUGUGAAAUCCCCGGGCUCAACCUGUGAACUGCAUUCAAAACUGACUGACUAGAGUAUGGUAGAGGGUGGUGGAAUUUCCUGUGUAGCGGUGAAAUGCGUAGAUAUAGGAAGGAACACCAGUGGCGAAGGCGACCACCUGGACUGAUACUGACACUGAGGUGCGAAAGCGUGGGGAGCAAAC
rnacentral:rRNA from 1 species